UACGUAGGGUGCGAGCGUUGUCCGGAAUUAUUGGGCGUAAAGAGCUUGUAGGCGGUUUGUCGCGUCUGCCGUGAAAAUCCGGGGCUCAACCCCGGACUUGCGGUGGGUACGGGCAGACUAGAGUGUGGUAGGGGAGACUGGAAUUCCUGGUGUAGCGGUGAAAUGCGCAGAUAUCAGGAGGAACACCGGUGGCGAAGGCGGGUCUCUGGACAUUAUCUGACGCUGAGACACGAAGGCCAGGGGAGCAAACGGG
rnacentral:rRNA from 1 species